GAUGAACGCUGGCGGCGUGCCUAAUACAUGCAAGUCGAGCGAACGGACGAGAAGCUUGCUUCUCUGAUGUUAGCGGCGGACGGGUAAGUAACACGUGGAUAACCUACCUAUAAGACUGGGAUAACUUCGGGAAACCGGAGCUAAUACCGGAUAAUAUUUUGAACCGCAUGGUUCAAAAGUGAAAGACGGUCUUGCUGUCACUUAUGGAUGGAUCCGCGCUGCAUUAGCUAGUUGGUAAGGUAACGGCUUACCAAGGCAACGAUGCAUAGCCGACCUGAGAGGGUGAUCGGCCACACUGGAACUGAGACACGGUCCAGACUCCUACGGGAGGCAGCAGUAGGGAAUCUUCCGCAAUGGGCGAAAGCCUGACGGAGCAACGCCGCGUGAGUGAUGAAGGUCUUCGGAUCGUAAAACUCUGUUAUUAGGGAAGAACAUAUGUGUAAGUAACUGUGCACAUCUUGACGGUACCUAAUCAGAAAGCCACGGCUAACUACGUG
rnacentral:rRNA from 1 species